AGGAAAGUGUUUGGAAUAAUAUCGAUAUUGACGAGGCCGUUGAUGAAAUUGCUGAAAUAUCUGUCCUUUGCACGAAAAGCGUAAACGAAGAUCUUGAAACAAUUGAUUUAAAGAGCAUCACAUCUAAAUUCAAGGCCAUGCUUAGAAACAAAUCUCUUUGGGACGCAACAGAUGGCGAUCGCUGUGAAAUAUGCUUGGUGAAUAAACACUUAAAAGUUAGUUUUGAUGGACAUGAUUUAACACGCGAGUCUCAGGCAAGUUGCGCACGUAAGAUCCGCACCUGCUGCUCCUGUAUGAGGAACUCUUACAUCAACCCAGUCAAGUGUCACACGUGUGGGCAAACCAUUGAACCGGUUAUAAAUGCAAAAUGGGGAGCCUUGCUUCUAGCUGGCUUUGAUACAAGAAAUGGAAGAUUGUUUAUUGAAGACAUCAAUCGAUUUAAAGAAGUAAUUACCUCGACGGUUCUUCCAGCAAUGAGUAUCAGGUUUCUGUUAAAUUUAUAUAUCAC